rnacentral:rRNA from 1 species
GUAGGGAAUCUUCCACAAUGGACGAAAGUCUGAUGGAGCAACGCCGCGUGAGUGAAGAAGGUCUUCGGAUCGUAAAACUCUGUUGUUAGAGAAGAACGUGCAUGAUAGUAACUGAUCAUGUAAUGACGGUAUCUAACCAGAAAGCCACGGCUAACUACGUGCCAGCAGCCGCGGUAAUACGUAGGUGGCAAGCGUUGUCCGGAUUUAUUGGGCGUAAAGGGAACGCAGGCGGUUUUUUAAGGCUGAUGUGAAAGCCUUCGGCUUAACCGAAGAAGAGCAUUGGAAACUGGAAGACUUGAGUGCAGAAGAGGAGAGUGGAAUUCCAUGUGUAGCGGUGAAAUGCGUAGAUAUAUGGAGGAACACCAGUGGCGAAAGCGACUUUCUGGACUGUAACUGACGCUGAGGCUCGAAAGCCAGGGGAGCGAACGGGAUUAGAAACCCGGGUAGUCC